GUUGUUUUGGCAGAAUAGUGUGAUGGAUUUAGAAUCUUUUUAUGUAAAUAAUUUACAAGCAAUA
rnacentral:tRNA from 1 species